UGGUAAAUGACAGUGAGACUCCAACCAGAUUUGUCUGAUUUUGAAAAGUCAUGCAUUUCUUACUACCAGGAUUAAAGCCCGAUCCAUUGAAACAGCAAAGUUUCAGAGUUCCAAGCAACUAAAUUCGUGCUUGGCAGGCAUAAGCAGUAAAGGAAUUUUACUGAAAGACUGUUAGGAAGUGCACAGAAUCAUUUGGAGAACUGAAGAAUCACGCUGGAGUUUCCCAGACUGGAGCAGUGCUUCAUCAUACCACAGAACUCAUCUACUGGAAAAAACAGACGCCAGCAGAGCCGCAGUGGUCAUGAAAGGCUGGGGCUGACAUCACUGCUGGAAUGCCCUGGGAACUCAGGCUCACUGCUGCCAAGAUCAUUUCCAAAGAGCCCUCCCUAUAAUCUCUGCUUCUCUGCAUGACUAAGCUCCCAGGCUCUCUUUUUCCUGCUGUCAUCCAUGAAAGAUGUGACUUGUUCCUCCUUGCCUUCUGCCAGGAUCCUGAGGCCUCCCCAGCCACGUGGAACUGUGAGGAAAAUCAUUCCUUUUCUCCAGAGGAUGCAGCAUUCAAGGCACCAUCUUGAAAGCGGAAACCAAGCCCUCACCAGACACCAAAUAUGCUGGCACCUGGAUCAUGUACCUCUCAUCCUCCAGAACUGUAUAAGAUGAGCUCCUUGCAAUAAAAAGCAACAACAUGAUGGAAGAAAGUUGAACUCAGAACCCAGUGACAUCUGAGCUCAAAUUCCAGCUUCUCCACUUAACUACUUUUGUCGCCAUAGACAGAUUAUACAAAUUCCCUGACCUUCCUUAUCUGAGAAAUUGUGAGAGUUCUGCCUUGCAGGGUGGGUGUGAGAAUUAAAAGCAUGGGACAUACCUAGCAUAGCCCUUGGCAUAUAGUGAACAUUCAUUUGUCACCUCCCUCUUAAAGAAAAUAAUUAUCUUUUAUUCUCUGUAUCCCUUUUAUUAUCUCCCACACAAUAGUACCUCAAUAAACUUUUGUUAAAUAAAUAAAUAGCUCCACUUCUCAGUCAAGUGGUGAGUUUCAUCACUAUAUUGUUCUUCUUUGGGCUUCCACUUCCUGCUAAAAUAACAAUGCAUAUUUUAUCUACCUGACCAAGAAGGAGUGGAUGUUAAUUAGAUUAAUGAGUGAUAUUCAAAUAAGUGACCUGUAUAAAUUUGUGCUAUCAUUUGCUCAUGCUGAAAAAUGAUAGAUAGUAAUUUUUUAAAUUUAACUUUAUUUUAAGUUCCAGGGUACACAUGCAGGAUGUGCAGGUUUGUUACAUAGGUAAAUGUGUGUCCUAGUGGUUUGCUGCACCUAUCGACCCGUCACCUAAGUAUUAAGCCCAGCAUGCAUUAGCUAUUUUUCCUGAUGCUCUCCCUCCUCCCACCACCCUCCCAACAGGCCCCAGUGAAUGCUGUUCCCCUCCCUGUGUAUAUGUAUUCUCAUUGUUCAGCUCCCACUUAUGAGUAAGAACAUGUGGUGUUUGGUUUUCUGUUCCUGCUUUAGUUUUCUGAGGGUAACAGCUUCCAGCUCCAUCCAUGUCCCUGCAAAGGACAUGAUCUCAUCCUUUUGUAUGGUUGCAUAGUAUUCCAUGAUGUAUAUGUACCACAUUUUCUUUAGUAAGAAGUGCCCUUUGCCCUCUGACAGGAUUCUGAAACCUCCCAGCCAUGUGGAACUGUAAGUCUAAUUAAACCUCUUUUUCUUCCCAGUCUCAGGUAUGUCUUUAUCAGCAGCAUGAAUACAGACUAAUACACAUGCUGAGCUUCUUUUCAUAUGUUUCUUGGAUGCAUAAAUGUCUUCUUUUGAGAAGUGUCUGUUCAUUUCCUUUGCCCACUUUUUAAUGGAGUUGUUUGCUAUUUUCUUGUAAAUUUGUUUAAAUUCCUCAUAGAUUCCAGAUAGUAGAACUUUGCCAGAUAAAUGGGUUGCAAAAAUGUUCUCCCAUUCUGUAGGUUAUCUGUUCUACCUGAUGAUAGUU
ensembl:lncRNA